GCUGUCAUAUCACAUAGACAAUCGCCAUGGCCAAGUGGUUGGAGAUGCAAAGUAACUCAGCUCGAAUCAGGCGUCUCUGGAACACGUUUUACAACACCGUUUUGCAAGCCGUGGUAUUUUCCAAAAGGACAGUCUCUGGAACAGGAGGUUUUGGUUAUGCUCUAGAACGACCUCGUGCUGAUUUACAAUGCUAAAGGCCAUCGGUCGCUGUGAGUGGCUUCGCCGAGGCACAUGCAACCAAUGGAAGGAGUCAGAGAAGACCUAGUAGAAGGGUUAUGUGGAAAAGCCCAGUGAUGAGAGACGUAUUACUCUGCCGGAUAUGGAGGUCAUCCCCAGGGCCCUACCACCUCCUGCACUCCACGUCCUCAAGAAAACAAACCAUUUGGUCUUUGCCUCAGGCCACAAACACACUGAUUAUGUCCUCCAUGUUUGCAUACAUGCAUUCAUGCUUACGUUUUCUGUGAGGACCCACUUAUUGUUAUCUUACUCUGUGUGUUGUUUGAUUGGUAGAGUGUUAAACUGCCCGGUUUUUGGAGUGUAGGCUGGAACUGGUUGCCUGACUGACUGCUUGGUGUGUGGAGUCGGGGCUUUGCCCAGGCGGCCUCACACUGCUUGGCUGCCUGUUAUGUAAAUGGGGCUGUCAGCCACUUGUUAUGGCAGGGCUGUUAGUGGGCCUGGGAGUCAUCAGGAAGCUCUGACAGCUUCUCUGGGUCCCAGGUCUACCAGUGAUUCAUAGCUGGCUUGGGGACAGGGGGAAGUUCAAGUCUGCCGUAAUCCAAACACUGAGAAAAUGGAAUGAGAGGAAAGGAAACUGAGAAAGUAAGGAAAAUAUGGUGAGAGACAGUGAAAUGGGGGAUGGAAAGCAAGAGAGGGAUGUCUAACAGUUGCCUCCCAUGAUGCCAAUACUUUAUAGAGACUGAGAGAGAAUGAGUGAGAGAGAGAGAAG